rnacentral:rRNA from 1 species
CCUACGGGGGGCAGCAGUGAGGAAUAUUGGUCAAUGGGCGGGAGCCUGAACCAGCCAAGUCGCGUGAGGGAAGACGGUCCUAUGGAUUGUAAACCUCUUUAGGCGGGGAGCAAUGCCGGGCACGCGUGCCCGGAGGGAGAGUACCCGCAGAAUAAGCAUCGGCUAACUCCGUGCCAGCAGCCGCGGUAAUACGGAGGUUGCGAGGGUUAUCCGGAUUUAUGGGGUUGAAAGGGUGCGUAGGCGGAUUUUUAAGUCAGCGGUAAAAUGUCCGGGCUCAACCCGGGCCGGCCGUUGAAACUGGGGAUCUUGAGUGGGCGAGAAGUAUGCGGAAUGCGUGGUGUAGCGGUGAAAUGCAUAGAUAUCACGCAGAACUCCGAUUGCGAAGGCAGCAUACCGGCGCCCGACUGACGCUGAGGCACGAAAGCGUGGGGAUCGAACAGGAUUAGAUACCCCAGUAGUC